CCCCCUUGCACCCCCCCGUUGCAUAUAUGUAGUAGUUUUACCAAGAGGACAUGCACACGAAUUUUUGAGUUUGUGGCCCAAAAUCAACCUCAAAAGCAAUUCAAACAAUUGAUUCAUCAUCUCAUUUGAUCCUGUAUUAUAAAUUAAAAAAUGGAUGCAGCUUUGAAUUCAAAAUGUGCUGAUCUGUUUGUUAAUGACUGGAUAAAUAAUUCCCACGAAAUUUUAUAUGAACAUGUACAAUCAAUCAAUGAUGAGACCAAUAAUGUCAUCUUACGAUUUAAAA
rnacentral:lncRNA from 1 species